AGAGUUUGAUCCUGGCUCAGGACGAACGCUGGCGGCGUGCUUAACACAUGCAAGUCGAACGGAAAGGCCCUUCGGGGUACUCGAGUGGCGAACGGGUGAGUAACACGUGGGUGAUCUGCCCUGCACUCUGGGAUAAGCCUGGGAAACUGGGUCUAAUACCGGAUAGGACCGCAUGCUUCAUGGUGUGUGGUGCAAAGCUUUUGCGGUGUGGGAUGAGCCCGCGGCCUAUCAGCUUGUUGGUGGGGUAAUGGCCUACCAAGGCGACGACGGGUAGCCGGCCUGAGAGGGUGACCGGCCACACUGGGACUGAGAUACGGCCCAGACUCCUACGGGAGGCAGCAGUGGGGAAUAUUGCACAAUGGGCGCAAGCCUGAUGCAGCGACGCCGCGUGAGGGAUGACGGCCUUCGGGUUGUAAACCUCUUUCAGUAGGGACGAAGCGAAAGUGACGGUACCUACAGAAGAAGGACCGGCCAACUACGUGCCAGCAGCCGCGGUAAUACGUAGGGUCCGAGCGUUGUCCGGAAUUACUGGGCGUAAAGAGCUCGUAGGUGGUUUGUCGCGUUGUUCGUGAAAACUCACAGCUUAACUGUGGGCGUGCGGGCGAUACGGGCAGACUAGAGUACUGCAGGGGAGACUGGAAUUCCUGGUGUAGCGGUGGAAUGCGCAGAUAUCAGGAGGAACACCGGUGGCGAAGGCGGGUCUCUGGGCAGUAACUGACGCUGAGGAGCGAAAGCGUGGGUAGCGAACAGGAUUAGAUACCCCGGUAGUCCAA
rnacentral:rRNA from 1 species